rnacentral:rRNA from 1 species
AAUCCAUAGGUUAAUGAGGCGAACCGGGGGAACUGAAACAUCUAAGUACCCCGAGGAAAAGAAAUCAACCGAGAUUCCCCCAGUAGCGGCGAGCGAACGGGGAGGAGCCCAGAGCCUGAAUCAGCAUGUGUGUUAGUGGAAGCGUCUGGAAAGGCGCGCGAUACAGGGUGACAGCCCCGUACACAAAAGCGCAUGUGCUGUGAGCUCGAUGAGUAGGGCGGGACACGUGAUAUCCUGUCUGAAUAUGGGGGGACCAUCCUCCAAGGCUAAAUACUCCUGACUGACCGAUAGUGAACCAGUACCGUGAGGGAAAGGCGAAAAGAACCCCGGCGAGGGGAGUGAAAAAGAACCUGAAACCGUGU